CCCAGUGCCAGCCGUUUAAAAAUGCCCCCAUGCUGUGAGGGGUGCCAGAGGCUGGGUCAGGUUAACUGAGGCGCGGUGACACUCCCAGCCCUCCCCCAGUAAGCUGGCUCCUCUCUCGCCACGCCAGGAGUCGCCCCUGGACCAGACUCCAGGAGAGGCAAAGGCACAGGCUUGGGGCGGCUGGAGGGAACCAUCCCGACAACUCUGACAUCGCAGGAGCAAGAACCCCAGUGAGAGGACCUCCUGGGACCAGAGGAGGGCGGGCAGCAGGCAGCCUGGAAACAGAACAGAUGACUUCCCCAUCAUCUACGCCUCCCCAGAGCCUCCCGGCAGAGGACGGACUUCUCCCUGCUCGGCUACGUGCCCCUGAGACAAAGGGGAGACAGCCAUCCUCCCAGGGGGCAGUUCUCAGGCCAGCGCUGAGGCCCAACAGAGAUGCGCCUGGGACAGCGGCUCACAGGUGGGACUCAUCCCACAGCAGGAAGGCCCUGUGCUGAGGUAAGAGGCCUGCAGACCAUGCCCACACACACUUGCACAACAUUUCACCACCAUCCCACAUUUGGAAAGCAUGUCCUCAGUCCCUAAGCAGAGCAGGGUUACCCCAGGCCACCAGAGGGCAGGUGGUUCUUCCCGCUGGGCACCAGUCUUGGCUCACCUGUGAUUGAUAAACUGAUGAACACUCAUACGUUUGUCCAGACGUUUAUUAACUUCGCUGGGUAAACUGAGAAAGGUACUUCAGUACAAUGUGCCACAGGGCCACGAAAAACUGGCAGGUGUUUCCAGAGAGAAGGACUCAGAGUGCCCCCUUGUGGGGGUCCCUGCCUCUGCCCACUGCAGUCCUCACAGCGUGUCUCACUCGUCCCUGCAGCGCCCAGUGAGGCGGCUCCCACAUCGCCAGUUCACAGACCAGGAAGCCAAGACCCAGAGAGGUGAAGAGCCUUGCCCUCGGCCCACCAUGUGAAGCAGAGAUCAAAUCUGCCCUGUCUGGCUUUUAACCAUGGUGCUGUGGGGCAAUUUGGCCCGGCCUGCCUCGUGGGCUGUCUCCCAGCAGCCUGCUCCCCAUAGGGGUGAAGGGGAAACAAGCCUUCGCGCGGCCCACGUGCCUCCCCUCGGCCCUGAGAUGCUAAUAAAGUGCUGGACCCAGA